CCCAGAAAGUAGAGAAAGUUCUGAGCAGUUUGAGGGAGACUUUCAAUGGACUCGGGGAUCUGGACCCAAAUGGCCGACUUCCCUUGGAAUGGGCCACACAGCUUAGAAGGAAGAUACUGUAGAGCACAGGGACAGCAGAGAUUGCCAGACCCACAAGAAGCACCAACGGGAAAAAGAAAUUUGCUAUGGAGGCUCGGAAAGUGCCAGAGGCCGAUGGAGUCUCUCACUGAACCUGGAACUCACUGUUGAGGAUAGACUGGAUGGCCAGUGAGCCCCUGGCAUCCUUUUGUCUCUGCUGCCCUCCUCCACUCCAUCUAGGGCUACAGAUGUGUGUUGCUGACUCACUCAGCUCUUCUGUGGGUUUUUGGGGAUCCAAACCUAAGUCUUUUAGCUUCUGCUGCAAGCGCUUUAUCCACCAAGCCAUCUCCUCAGCCUUUGUAUUUUGUUUGUUUGUUUUUUUUUUUCUUCAAGACAAUGUUUCCCUGUGCAGUCCUGGCUGUCCUGGAACUUGAUAUGUAGACCAGGCUGGUCUCGAACUCACAGAGCUCUGCCUGCCUUCUGCCUCCAGAGUGCUGGGAUUAAAGGCAUGUGCUACCACUUCCA